rnacentral:rRNA from 1 species
AUUGAACGCUGGCGGCAGGCCUAACACAUGCCAGUCGAGCGGAUGAAGGGAGCUUGCUCCUGGAUUCAGCGGCGGACGGGUGAGUAAUGCCUAGGAAUCUGCCUGGUAGUGGGGGAUAACGUCCGGAAACGGGCGCUAAUACCGCAUACGUCCUGAGGGAGAAAGUGGGGGAUCUUCGGACCUCACGCUAUCAGAUGAGCCUAGGUCGGAUUAGCUAGUUGGUGGGGUAAAGGCCUACCAAGGCGACGAUCCGUAACUGGUCUGAGAGGAUGAUCAGUCACACUGGAACUGAGACACGGUCCAGACUCCUACGGGAGGCAGCAGUGGGGAAUAUUGGACAAUGGGCGAAAGCCUGAUCCAGCCAUGCCGCGUGUGGGAAGAAGGUCUUCGGAUUGUAAAGCACUUUAAGUUGGGAGGAAGGGCAGUAAGUUAAUACCGUGCUGUUUUGACGUUACCAACAGAAUAAGCACCGGCUAACUUCGUG